AGAGGAGAAGGAGGGAGAACUGAAGAGGAGGAGGAGGCAGCCAUGAUGGAGCAGAACCAUGUGGCCCGGAGGAACUGGUCUUACUGUAGAUUUGGCUGGCCUGAAAUUUGCUGCUGUAGACCAAGUUGGCUUCGUAUUAAGAGUAAGAGACCUUUCUACUUCUGUCUAUGGAGUGCUGGGAUUAAAGGUAAGUGCCAUUGCUCCUA
rnacentral:lncRNA from 1 species